rnacentral:rRNA from 1 species
AGAAUCAACGCUGGCGGCGUGCCUAACACAUGCAAGUCGAACGAGAAAGUGGAGCAAUCCAUGAGUAAAGUGGCGCACGGGUGAGUAACACGUGACUAACCUACCCUUGAGUGGGGGAUAACCUAGGGAAACCUGGGCUAAUACCGCAUAAUACCUUCGGGUCAAAGGAGCAAUUCGCUUAAGCGAGGGGGUCGCGGCCGAUUAGUUAGUUGGCGGGGUAAUGGCCCACCAAGACGAUGAUCGGUAUCCGGCCUGAGAGGGCGCACGGACACACUGGAACUGAAACACGGUCCAGACUCCUACGGGAGGCAGCAGUGGGGAAUUUGCGCAAUGGGGGAAACCCUGACGCAGCAACGCCGCGUGGAGGAUGAAGUCCCUUGGGACGUAAACUCCUUUCGAUCGGGACGAUUAUGACGGUACCGGAAGAAGAAGCCCCGGCUAACUUCGCGCCAGCAGCCGC